UGAUGGUGGUGAGGGAAAUUUCUCAGUAUACCCUUAAAUCGUUCCCAAGCUUGGUAAAGAUUUUCUCUUUUUUUCUGCCUGAAACUCAAAAUCUUGUUUUUCAGUGU
rnacentral:snoRNA from 1 species